GGCGGGCGGCGUGCUCGAAAAUGUUAAAGUUCUUAUUUCAUGGUAUAACUUUGGUAUGCUUGGACCUAGAGUCUUCAAACUUGACAUGAAGGUUGGCCAGGAUUAACAGAUGACCACUGGUCAUUUCAAGGUCAUUCAUUUGAAGGUCAAGGUCACUGUGACCUUCAAUAUAAAAAAUGUUAAAGUUGUUAUAACUUUGGUAUGCUUGGACCUAGAGUCUUGAAACUUGACAUGAAGGUUGGCCAUAACUAGUUAGUAACCACUGGUCAUUUCAAGGUCAUUCAUUUGAAGGUCAAGGUCACUGUGACCUUGAAUGUAAAAAUGUUAAAGUUCUUAUUUCAUGGUAUAACUUUGGUAUGCUUGGACCUAGAGUCUUCAAACUUGACAUGAAGGUUGGCCAGGAUUAACAGAUGACCACUGGUCAUUUCAAGGUCAUUCAUUUGAAGGUCAAGGUCACUGUGACCUUGAAUGUAAAAAUGUUAAAGUUGUUAUAACUUUGGUAUGCUUGGACCUAGAGUCUUGAAACUUGACAUGAAGGUUGGCCAGAACUAGUAAGUAACCACUGGACAUUUCAAGGUCAUUCAUUUGAAGGUCAAGGUCACUGUGACCUUGAAUGUAAAACUGUUAAAGUUCUUAUUUCAUGUUAUAACUUUGGUAUGCUUGUACCUAGAGUCUUCAAACUUGAAAUAAAGAUUGGCCAGUACUAGAAGAUGACCACUGGUCAUUUCAAUGUCAUUCAUAAAUAGUAUUAUUUCAUCUAAGUUUAUUUUCUUACAUUUGAUAAUGAAAUUGAUGGAAACUUCAAACAAUAUGUUACUAAUUUGCUAAUAAAAAAAUUGAGAUCAAACUUU